GGAUGAACGCUAGCUACAGGCUUAACACAUGCAAGUCGAGGGGCAGCGGUAUCGAACGCUUGCUUUCGGUAGCCGGCGACCGGCGCACGGGUGAGUAACGCGUAUCGAACCUGCCUCAUACUCGGGAAUAGCCUUGCGAAAGUAAGAUUAAUGCCCGGUGUUUUCAGAGUCCCGCAUGAGGCUUUGAACAAAGAUUUAUCGGUAUGAGAUGGCGAUGCGUCCCAUUAGCUUGUUGGCGGGGUAACGGCCCACCAAGGCAUCGAUGGGUAGGGGUUCUGAGAGGAAGGUCCCCCACAUUGGAACUGAGACACGGUCCAAACUCCUACGGGAGGCAGCAGUGAGGAAUAUUGGUCAAUGGGCGGAAGCCCGAACCAGCCAAGUAGCGUGCAGGAAGACGGCCCUCCGGGUUGUAAACUGCUUUUAGUUGGGAAUAAAACGGGGCUCGUGAGCCCCCUUGCAUGUACCAUCAGAAAAAGGACCGGCUAAUUCCGUG
rnacentral:rRNA from 1 species